rnacentral:miRNA from 1 species
AACCUCAUCAACUGGAAGGGAUUCCUUCCUGUUGAUGAGGUAUAGCUUCCUCAUCGAUCGGAAGGGAUUCCUUCCAGUCGGUGAGGAG